GGUGAAAUGUUUGGCGAAUUCAAUCUCGGGUCUACCGUUGUACUGAUAUUUGAGGCCCCCGAGAACUUUAAAUUCAACGUCAACAACGACCAGAAGGUUCGGAUGGGAGAACCAAUGGGAACGUGCAAAACAUCAUAGCAGACCGGAAAUGAACAGCGUUAACUGUGAUACAUCCCACUUUUACUUUCAAAUUGACAAAGAGUAAAAAUGAUUUUUGUAUAGUUUUCAUGUUGAAAACUUGUUGCAAGCGAGAAAUAAAUGUGAAGAGUGUG
rnacentral:misc_RNA from 1 species